UAUUAUGAGAGUUUGAUCCUGGCUCAGGACGAACGCUGGCGGCGUGCCUAAUACAUGCAAGUCGAACGCUUCUUUCCUCCCGAGUGCUUGCACUCAAUUGGAAAGAGGAGUGGCGGACGGGUGAGUAACACGUGGGUAACCUACCCAUCAGAGGGGGAUAACACUUGGAAACAGGUGCUAAUACCGCAUAACAGUUUAUGCC
rnacentral:rRNA from 1 species